GACGAACGCUGGCGGCGUGCUUAACACAUGCAAGUCGAGCGGUAAGGCCCUUUCGGGGGUACACGAGCGGCGAACGGGUGAGUAACACGUGGGUGACCUGCCCUUAGCUCUGGGAUAAGCCUGGGAAACUGGGUCUAAUACCGGAUAUGACUCCAUGACGCAUGUUGUGGGGUGGAAAGCCUUGUGCGGCUAGGGAUGGGCCCGCGGCCUAUCAGCUUGUUGGUGGGGUGAUGGCCACCAAGGCGACGACGGGUAGCCGGCCUGAGAGGGCGACCGGCCACACUGGAACUGAGACACGGUCCAGACUCCUACGGGAGGCAGCAGUGGGGAAUUUUUCGCAAUGGGGGCAACCCUGACGAAGCAACGCCGCGUGGGGGU
rnacentral:rRNA from 1 species